rnacentral:lncRNA from 1 species
AGAUGCCAUGCAGGAAUCGGCCUUUACCUCAUCCUGGGAAUUCCUCUCACAUCUCCUCCUGCGCUGGGUCCACUGCGUCCUGAGCCCAGCUUAUCCUGUUUCUUGGGAAAUGCUUCAUGGGAAUUCCUGCAUGAAUUCACACUUGAAGAGGCUUCCAUACUCUCCUUUUUGUUGACAGAAAUCAGUUUUGACAGAUGCCUAGAAUCCCCCAGUGAGGGGUGUGGCUCAGUGGUAGAGCCCCUGCCUAGAAUGCCCCAGUGAGGGGCUGGGCCAUGGAAGAGCACCACCAGCCUUUCUCAUUGCAGCAUUGUUCCUGAGAAAUGCAGACCAUUCUGCUUUUCUUGUUGCCCCAGUGUCUUGCUGUGUAGCCCAGGGUGACCUGAAAUGAAGAGUUCUCCCACCUCCACCUCUUCCAAGUGUGGGGAGGCGAACCCCUGACAUAUGACACAUGUGGAAGUUAGAGGACAACUUGCAGGAGUCAGUUUACUCCUUCCUUCCACCAGAUGGGUCUCUGGGAUCCAAGGCAAGUUGUCAGCCUUCAGGCAAGUGCCUUUACCUCCACAGCCAUCCUGAAGGCUGCGAGAGUCCUACAUUUUCACAGCCAGUUCUGCCCUCGUCACUUGAGUGGACAUAGAUAAACAGGCAGGUACCAAGCUGUAAGUGGGAGAGGGGACCUGAUGGGAGGUAAGGAGAGAUUCACACACGUCACAUCAACUGUGAAGGCAGACAGAUGUCUGAGGGAAUCUGAUGUCAGAUGGGUCCCAGGUGUUAGAAAACAAGACAAGCUGAGCCAGAGGUAAGUAAAGGAAAAAAUAUUGGGGUAGGAAAAUCAGGAUUCUAUUUUUUUAUUGAUUGUUUGUUUGUUUGUUUGUUUGAUUGAUUGAUUGAUUGAUUGAUUGAUUAUAGCUGGGUAGUGAUGGUGCACACCUUUAGUCCUAGCACUUGGGAGGCAGAGGCAGUCAGAGCUCUGUGAGUUAGAGGCCAGCCUGGCCUACAGAGCAAGUUCAAGGACAGCCAGGGCUGCACAGAGAAACCCUGUCUCGAAAAACAAUCAAAAGAUUAUUAUGUAUUUGUGUGUGUUUGCCUGCGUGUAUAUCUGUGCACCAUGUGGCUGGCAUGACUGAGGAGGGCAGAAGAGGGUGUCAGGUCUCUGGAACUGGAGUUACAGAUGGUUUUGAGGCACUACAUGGGCUCUGGGGAUGGAAGCUGGGUCCUCUGGAAGAGCAGCCAGUGCUCUUAACGAUUGAGCCAUCUUUUCAUCCAUAGUUUUAAUUUUUUCUCUUAGUUUAAAACUAUAUUUCUUUUGUGGGGGGGACUCGUGCAGUGACUCGGCAGAAAUGGUACUUACUAUCACAGCUGAAAACCUGAGUUUGAUGGCCAGGAUUCACGAGGUGGUGGGAGACCACUGACUCCUGUGAGCUGUGUGACCUGUGACCUCUACAGGAGCACCGUAACAUGUACAUGCCAAUGCAUAUACACUAGAUCAGUCAAUAGGUCAACAGCUUGCUAUUUAAGCUUAGGAUGACCCUCCAUUUCCACAUCUCAAAUACGAUUGCAGGUGUGUGCCACCGUGCUCCACUCUCUGUUAUCUGUGUUCUUGAAACAGGGCCUUACUGGAUUGCUGGGCUAGCUCAUCUUCCUGCUUUCAGCAUGAGUCCCCAAGUGCUGGUAUGACCGACAUGUGUCACCAUGUCUACUUUGCACUGUUUUCCACUAGUAUAAAGUAUCCCUAAGCUAGACAACACAAUGUGAGAACUCUACUUGGCUCUUGGCUUUGAGGCUAAAAGUCUAAGGUCAGACAGACCAUAGGCUCUGCCUUGGGCGAGGAAUGCUUGGUUGUGUUGUACAAGGGCAGGUGACGUCAUGAUGGGAGUGUGUGUGUGUACAUGGUGGGAGUGUGUAUGUGCAUAGUGGGGGUGUAUGUGUGCAUGGUGGGAGUGUGUAUGUGUGUGUGUGCAUGGUGGGAGUGUGUAUGUGCAUAGUGGGAGUGUAUGUGUGCAUGGUGGGAGUGUGUGUGUCUAUGGUGGGAGUGUGUUUGUCUAUGGCAGGAGUGUGCAUGGUGGCAGUAUGUGCAUAAAGCGACUUACACCAUAAUCUAAGCACUCAGAACCUGAGGCAGGAAGGAGAGUUGUAUGUUCAAGAUUAGCCUGGGUUAUCCAAUGAAACCUGUUUCAAAUUGCAAAGAAGAAAAAGAAGUUUUAUGGUGGGGUAGUUUGCACAGGGUGAGAGAGCAAUCCAGGAGAGGUUCAGAGGUAAAGCUCACUAUUAUAGAACAAUGUAUAAUGAUCUAUUCUUAGAACUAACCAGGCUUCCAUGAAGACUUCGUUAAUCCCUGCUGAGGACAGACAAAUUCCCUUGCAGGAAACCAUACUGAUUAAAGGCUCUCCCGAGGAGCUGGGAAGCAGCUGGUGUGAUACAGUGCUUGUAUACUCUGUGUAGCUCUGGCUGUCCUGGAACUUGCUUCGUAGACCAGACUGGCCUCAAAGUCACAGGGGUCCAUAUCUGUCUCUCCCUCCCUAGUGCUGGGAUUAAAGGUGUGUGUCACCACAACUGGCUUGAGCCUGGCAGUUUAUUGGUUUGCAGGACCAAAAGGCUCGUAUUAGUCACUUGUGGUUGCUGUGGUAAAAGGCCUGAGGCUGUUGAAGGAUUUGCUUUCCAGGUCACACAAUAAGCUGUAUUAGAAGUACCGUGUGGGCUUUGUGUUUGUGUUGGGAGGUCAUUUGUUUUAUUUCAUUGUAAUGGAGAUUAAACCCAGGAUCUUGC